AGAUUUCACGGGUAAAUUAUUAUUAAUUUUCGAAAAUUCGAAUUAUAUGGAUUUUAAAUAUGAAUUUUUGCAAACGUGAUUGUUUGAUUGAUUUGAUGAUUCCAUGUUGUAGAGCAUCUCCUGCCAUUCGUUUUCAUAUAUUAUAAGUCGAUUUUUGACUUCCGUAACAUAUAGAAAUAAGGGUUUGAUUCUUGAGAUGUGUUCUUGAAUGUUCUUGAAGCUUUUCAAUUGAAAUUUGGGGGUUUCCUUUCUGUUGAUUCUGGGUGUGCAUGGCUUAUACCAUUAGAAAGAGUGUGAAGAGAGGAAUCCGGUGGUGGUGUUGGUUUGAGUGGGGGACGCCGGAGUCGGCUUCGCCGGGAGCUUCAAGAAAGCCGCCGCCGGCGGAGCUUUUGCUCCAUUUUCCGGCCAAUUCCUACGGCCUCUGAUGAUUCUGAGUAUGUGUAUACGAUGCUAGGAGUGUGUAUGAGUGAUCUGGAAGCUUUGGUGCGCUUCCGGACGCUGCAGCACCGUCUCCGGCAAGUCAGAGGCCGCCGGCGGUGAAAAUUACAGUUUAGUACCCGAAGUUAUGAAGGUGGUGAAGUUGUUGUACCCAAGUUUUGAAUCUUGCAAAACAGCCCCUGUAACUUCUGAAAGUUACAGUUUUGACCCUGGCCGAAAACUUUCAAAACUUUACACUUUAAACCUUUCUGAUUUAAGUUUCUAAAAUUGUUUUAUUUAAUUAUUUUAAAUUUCAAAAAUAGUUCUUAAUUAUUUCUUUAUUCAAAAAUAAAUCUAAAUUAGUUUCUUAAUUAAUUUUAAUUAGUAAUUAAUUAUUUUAAUUGGUCAAUUAAUUUAAAUAUUAAUUGAUUAAUUAAUUUAGUUAAUUAUUAAUUGAUUUUAAUUGAUUAAUUAAUUGGAUUUAAUUGUUCCUUUUGAUUUAAAAAUUCUGGAAAAUAGUUUCGAGCUUUGAAUUAUUUUUCUAAAAUAUGUUCAAGGCUCGUUAAUUGAUUUCAAAUGAUUUCGGACCCGAUCUUGGGCAAUCGGACUUGAGUAUUUACUCAAAAACGGAUUCUUUUACCUGUUUUAAUUCCGAAAAAUGUCUAGAAAUUCCAGAAAAUUCCCGAAAAAUCAUUUUUAACCCAAGACUUGAUUUAGUAUCAAUUGGGGUGGGAAACCUUAUGUGUAAUGUGUUGUCUGCUAUCUGUUUGAUGUGUUAUGUGCCGAUAAAGGAGUUAGAAAACGGUUUUGGUCAUAACUUUUGACUCGUAAUUCAGAAUGGAGUAAAACGAAAAAGAGGUUGAAGCUUAUAAAGUCUAUUUUAAUGUGACAUAAUAAUAUGGUGGAGUAUAGAAUGUGAAUAAUUGUUGUUAAAUGUAUAGAAUAUGAUUAUAUGUGAUCUAAUUGCUAUUAAAUGAUAAUUGCAUGGACUAUCUGAUUGUUCUAGUAUUACAUACAUGUGAUAAAUGAUUAAAUGACAUAGUGUCGUGUCUUGAUAGAUGUCGGAUAAAAGCAUAUGGAUUAUAGUGAUUGGAUUUGGUUGGUUGAUUGUUGAUUGAGAUAGGAUAACAGGUGGAUAGUCUAAUAAAUAGACGAGACGAUGUCGGAUUUUCGAUAAGAUUUAUAUGAUAUUUAAUUGAUAAUAUGUUAUGUGAAAUAUGAUUAGACUAUAUGGUAGAGUCAAAGCAUGAUUAUGUGUUAAGUGAUAUUUGAUGAGUUUAAAGAGUUAUAUAAGUGGGUAUCGAUAUACAUGAUAUGUGUAUGCGAUAGGUUAUGCUACCGAGUUGAUAAGUAGAAAUAAGAAUCAAUAGAUUAUUUAGUGAUAAUGGUAGUAUCUUAUCCUCGUAAAGGGUUUGGACGAGACGGAUACGAUCGAAGACGUUCAGAAGGUCAAACGAUGUUACAAAGCGAAUAAGGAACGAAUCGAGUAAACGAAGCAGUGUGGCGAAUAGAGUAUAGCCAAAGAUGGUCUAGAGACUAUGAUAUGCAUAGAGUGUGAAAGUGGAAAGAUGAGAUUGAGAUAUGAGACUGGAAUCGGAUUUAAGGCAAGUUUUCCUAAAUCCUUCCUCAUAUAUAUAUUGCAUGUUCUGAUUAUUUUGUCAAGAUUAUGAUAUUGUUUAUGCUGAGACCCUUCUCAAACAAACUCUUAUUUUUGAGAAUGAAACCCAUGAUUGUCUUCUACUUUCAAGUCUUUGAAAAGCCAAACACCCAAAUACUCUCAAUUUCUAUUACAAGUAUUCUGAUCCAUUCUUUCCCAUCCUCAAGAUUUUAACAGUAUCAGCUUUUUAAAUUAGUUCGAAGUUCAGACCGUCAUUGAAGCAUGGGUUGCUCAGUGAUAGUUAGAACCUAGAAUGAGUUGGGAUCUUCUUGAUUAUUCAACCCGCCAUUGUCAUGCUGGUUUAGCAGGCUAAAUUCAGUUGCUUAGCCGAUAAUGGAGGAUACUGAAUAGUUAGGAAUUUCCUGAACUAUGAUUUAUCAAAAUACAGACUGUGGUUUAUGAAAUGUUGAUCCUCAAAAGUUGAUUUGGAAUAUUUCUGUUGCUGAUAAUGAUUAUGAUUCUGUUCUGUUGAUUGAAUUGUCUAUUGAUUUAAAUUGUUAGAAUUGGAUUAGUUUUUAUAAAAUAUGUGGACCAGAUUCGUGGUCAGACCAGAUUCGUGGUCAAUUAUAGGCCAAUGUGUGCCUUGGAUCCAGUAUAGAGAACAGGGCUGUGUGCCAUGUUCGGGGUUAGUGCGUGACUGAUCAGCAGCCUAACCUUUGGUUUUUAAGUAAAAAUGUGAUGAAUCCAAUUCGACAAUUCUUCUGUAAGUUUGAAUUCUGAUUUCAAUUGCUGAUAAGAAUUGUGAAAUUUUCAAUUGCAUAUCCUGAACUUGUGAACCCUGAUAAAAUAUUUCAGGACUAUUGUUGCUUAUAUACACUUGCUGAGCAUUGUUGCUCACCCUUGCUAUUCCUUUUUAACCAUUUCAGAAAAGCUUAGAGAUGAAUUGCUUGAUUGAGAUUGCGAGUAUGGCUAAGGAUAAGCGAGGAGUAGGAGUUAUAGAAUAUCCAGAGGACAAGUGGAAUGUUCAGGGAGAUUGACAAGGUUGGUUCUAGAUAGAGUUGUAUUAUUGAGAUUCAGUUGUAAGUCAUAAUU
rnacentral:lncRNA from 1 species